CCGACCUCCGCUCUGGCGUGUAUAGCUUGGAUGAGAAAACGCACCGAGAUCUCGUGAAAGCAGUACGCGCUAAAGUCAAGCGGCAGAUAAAAAUGCCCAAGUUCAGGAGGCGGAGCUCAUCCGGAGAUCAUCGUGGAAACCCAAGUUCACACCGUCCAAUGUGGUUUGCAAAUGCACUCCAGGUGCUAGAGAAUUUAAGGAGCGAAUGGCAUGUUGGGCGGAGCAGGAUUUGUUCAGAUGCGCAAGCGACAUUGAUAGGACGAGGGAAGUGGUGCUGCGGUUUGAAGCCCGGAUUGUUGAAGAGCUCGAGGACGACUUGCUGUGCAGCAAGCUGCUGCAGGAGAGGCCAGGCGAAAUGGAUUCCCGACGUGUAUAACCAACUGGUGGAGUGGAUCGAGGGUGCACCAUCGCGAGAUUGAGAUUAAAGAUUACAAGCUGCUGCGGGAUUACAAGGCGCAGGAGGGAGCAGCGCAGGAGAUCGUGGCGAGGAGGUGUGAGCCCAUUGAUUUUGAGGAAGAGAGAGGGAUGUUUAGACACAUGAGGAGUAGCCGCCGCCAGGUAUAUGCUCUACCGGAUCAGUUUCGGUAGAGAGAGAUGAUCGAUGAUUCAUAAUACAGAGAUUUAUAAGAUGUUGAGCGCAUUUGUGGUCAA